rnacentral:rRNA from 1 species
AGAGUUUGAUCCUGGCUCAGGACGAACGCUGGCGGCGUGCCUAAUACAUGCAAGUUGAACGCUUGAUUUUCACCGAAGCUUGCUUCACCGAAAAUCAAGAGUAGCGAACGGGUGAGUAACGCGUGGGUAACCUACCUUUCAGCGGGGGAUAACUAUUGGAAACGAUAGCUAAUACCGCAUAACAAUGUUGGAUGCAUAUUCGACAUUUGAAAGUAUCAAUUGGUACACUGAGAGAUGGACCCGCGUUGUAUUAGCUAGUUGGUAGUGUAAUGGACUACCAAGGCGAUGAUACAUAGCCGACCUGAGAGGGUGAUCGGCCACAUUGGGACUGAGACACGGCCCAAACUCCUACGGGAGGCAGCAGUAGGGAAUCUUCGGCAAUGGACGAAAGUCUGACCGAGCAACGCCGCGUGAGUGAAGAAGGUUUUCGGAUCGUAAAACUCUGUUGUUAGAGAAGAACGUUGCAUAGAGUGGAAAAUUAUGCAAGUGACGGUAUCUAACCAGAAAGGGACGGCUAACUACGUGCCAGCAGCCGCGGUAAUACGUAGGUCCCGAGCGUUGUCCGGAUUUAUUGGGCGUAAAGCGAGCGCAGGUGGUUUAAUAAGUCUGAUGUAAAAGGCAGUGGCUCAACCAUUGUGUGCAUUGGAAACUGUUAGACUUGAGUGCAGUAGAGGAGAGUGGAAUUCCAUGUGUAGCGGUGAAAUGCGUAGAUAUAUGGAGGAACACCGGUGGCGAAAGCGGCUCUCUGGACUGUCACUGACACUGAGGCUCGAAAGCGUGGGUAGCAAACAGGAUUAGAUACCCUGGUAGUCCACGCCGUAAACGAUGAGUGCUAGUUGUUUGGGGCUAUCCAGCCCUAAGUGACGCAGCAAACGCAUUAAGCACUCCGCCUGGGGAGUACGACCGCAAGGUUGAAACUCAAAGGAAUUGACGGGGGCCCGCAC